CUUUUUAAUUGACAUCGACCAAGUCCUCUAGUAAAAUGAGGAUGA
rnacentral:tRNA from 1 species